rnacentral:rRNA from 1 species
GACGAACGCUGGCGGCGUGCCUAAUACAUGCAAGUAGGACGCAGUUGCGAGCGGGUGAGUAACGCGUAGGUAACUGCCUAUUAGAGGGGGAUAACUAUUGGAACCGAUAGCUAAUACCGCAUACUAGUAGCUGGACCUGCGUUGUAUUAGCUAGUAGGGAGGGUAAUGGGCUACCUAGGCGGAGAUACAUCGCCGGGCUUGGGGGGAGGUCGGCCACACUGGGACUGGAAAACGGGCCAGAAUCCUUCGGGAGGCAGCAGUAGGGAAACUUCGGACAUGGGGGGAACCCUGACCACGCAACGCCGCGGGGUUGAAGGAGGGUUUCGGAGCGUAAAGCUACGUUGUUAAGGAAGCGGUACUUAAACAGAAAGGAACGGCUAACUACGUGCCAGCAGCCGCGGUAAUAC